CUACGGGUGGCACCAGUAGGGAAUAUUGCGCAAUGGGGGAAACCCUGACGCAGCAACGCCGCGUGAGUGAAGAAGGUCUUCGGAUUGUAAAGCUCUGUCAAGUGGGAAGAAUAAUCUAUGGGUAACCAUAGAGAUGACGGUACCUAAAGAGGAAGCCCUGGCUAACUACGUGCCAGCAGCCGCGGUAAUACGUAGAGGGCGAGCGUUGUCCGGAAUCAUUGGGCGUAAAGGGCGUGUAGGUGGUAUAUUAAGUCAGAUGUUAAAUACCCAGACUCAAUCUGGGAAAAGCAUUUGAAACUGAUUUACUAGAGAAUAGAAGAGGAAAGUGGAAUUCCUGGUGUAGCGGUGGAAUGCGUAGAUAUCAGGAGGAACACCGGUGGCGAAGGCGACUUUCUGGUCUAUUUCUGACACUGAGGCGCGAAAGCGUGGGGAGCAAACAGGAUUAGAUACCCUAGUAGUC
rnacentral:rRNA from 1 species